AACGCGAAGAACCUUACCCAGGCUCGAAAUGUAGAGGACGACUUCAGAAACGAAGUUUCCCGUAAGGGUCUCUAUAUAGGUGCUGCAUGGCUGUCGUCAGCUCGUGCCGUGAGGUGUUGGGUUAAGUCCCGCAACGAGCGCAACCCUUAUCGUUAGUUGCCAGCGGUUUCGGCCGGGAACUCUAACGAGACUGCCUGGGUUAACCAGGAGGAAGGUGAGGAUGACGUCAAGUCCGCAUGGCCUUUAUGUCUGGGGCAACACACGUGCUACAAUGGCCGGUACAGAAGGCAGCGAAACCGUGAGGUGGAGCAAAUCCUAAAAAGCCGGUCUCAGUUCGGAUUGUAGUCUGCAACUCGACUACAUGAAGUUGGAAUUGCUAGUAAUGGCGGGUCAGCUACACCGCCGUGAAUACGUUCCCGGGCCUUGUACACACCGCUCGCGA
rnacentral:rRNA from 1 species